GACGAACGCUGGCGGCGUGCUUAACACAUGCAAGUCGAACGGAAAGGCCCCCAUCUUGGUGGGGGUGCUCGAGUGGCGAACGGGUGAGUAACACGUGGGUGAUCUGCCCUGUACUUCGGGAUAAGCUUGGGAAACUGGGUCUAAUACCGGAUAGGACCAUGGUUUAGUGUCUCAUGGUGGAAAGAUUAUUGUUUUGGUGCAGGAUGAGCUCGCGGCCUAUCAGCUUGUUGGUGGGGUAAUGGCCUACCAAGGCGUCGACGGGUAGCCGGCCUGAGAGGGUGGACGGCCACAUUGGGACUGAGAUACGGCCCAGACUCCUACGGGAGGCAGCAGUGGGGAAUAGUGCACAAUGGGCGCAAGCCUGAUGCAGCGACGCCGCGUGGGGGAUGACGGCCUUCGGGUUGUAAACUCCUUUCGUUAGGGACGAAGCCGCACUUUUUUUGGGUGUGGUGACGGUACCUUUGUUAAGAAGCACCGGCUAACUACGUG
rnacentral:rRNA from 1 species